rnacentral:misc_RNA from 1 species
AAGUCGUAACAAGGUUUCCGUAGGUGAACCUGCGGAAGGAUCAUUAUCGAAUUAUAAGCGAGGGUUGUCGCUGGCCUCUUUCGAGGCAUGUGCACACCUGAGCUCUUAAAUCCACAACACACCUGUGAACCCACCGUAGGCCUUCGGGCUUAUGUAUCAUAUACUCUGAAAUGUGUCAUAGAAUGUAAAUAUUUUGCCUUAAAAACGCAAUGAAAUACAA